ACAAUGUACUGCACCUUAAACUAACUCUUUUCAAUCUUGACAAGGUUUGACUCUGUUCAAGUAACAAUAAUCCCUUUUAGUAGCUCUUCACCUUGUUUGCAAGCUGCCAUAACGAUUUCCUUGGCACCAUGGGGUGCUUUAUUCAUUGAUAAUGUUUGAAGGUCAACACCAUCUUCUGAUUGAAAUCUAUCAUUGACUUUAACCUUGAACCAUAGUGUCUUUUCUUGAUCUGGCAUUGGUCUUCAUAGAUCUUUAAUUUUAACUCUAAUAUGGCAAGUCAAGGGGCUUUACCAUUUGAAAGGUGAAGCUAGGCAGGCAAGCAAGGUGCAGCGAAUGAGCUAGGCUGGGCCUGGACCCAUGAUCUGGCACAUGAUGCUGAGACCCAGGUCCAAGUACAAACCCUGUCCGUCCCUAAUCCUACGUCCUAAUUGGUUGAAUAGGUUUGCUGAGGCCUCGUGUUCUAUGAUAGAACAUUAGAAUGAUGGAUGGUGUCUUUUCUCAUGCUUAGAAGGAAUAGACAAUUGGUAAAAACCAUCCUCCCUGCAAGUUACAAUUUUUCUUCUUUAUAUAGCUUUAAUCACCUUAAAAGUAUGUUUCUGCCAACCAGGGAAAAAAGCCUUUUUCAGUGCUGUGUUUACCUCCUUCAAGCAUUAAUUCCCAUCCCAUUUCUUAGUGGAACUCCUAUGAACAA